ensembl:ncRNA asRNA:CR44960 antisense RNA:CR44960
GACUUGAAUUUAUUCAUAUAAAGCUUAGGGUACGCAGGGCGACCACGGCGGCCAUGUAGAAGGUGAUCAGUAGCAUGGUGGCGAAGGCUAGAAUCCUCGAUGGCUGCGGCACCGGAUAAACGGCGUAAACCAGAGUGUGUAUGAUCCUGGCCACGGAGGCCACUCGGAACAGUAUGCAGGCCACAUCGGCAUUCGGAUUGGUACUGAUAUAAAUCAAGGACAUGAUAAAAUACGGCAGAAUGUUCUCCAUGUCAUUGCGAUGGGCCCUAAAACGUAAAGUAUAAGGUUAUUAGGAUGUGAACCUACAGUUGCAUAGCCCGCAGUCGAACUACUCUAAAUCAUGGUUAAGUCAAAUACUAGUUUCUAACUUUCUCAUGACAAAACUUCUUGUUUAGUAGAUUAAUGGUAAUAACGCACCUUCUGACCCGCUCCACAUGCGGAUCAUCGAAUUGCACUUCAAGAUUCUUGAAGAACAGAUCCUCCUGGUUGGGAAAGAUCUAUAAGAGCGGAAAAUAACCAUUUUUAGAACGAGACUAAAACAGGUUAAUCUAAAUAAUCGAAUGUGAUCGCGAUGACAUGGAGAUUUGAAGUUAUUACCCUGCGCCGCAGUGCCAACGGUACGAUCGCCAGCAGCUGUGAAUUGAAUGCCUACCUUAUACCGGAAACGCUGAACGGCCGUUAGCAGCGACAUGAGCAGCAUCUUCACCACCAGGACUGUGGACCAAAAAAGAUAGCAGCAAAAGACAGGAUUCUCCAGGGUAAACAUAUCGCCGGGCGAUGUCAUCAUCUUGCUGGAAUUACUAGCUGCGGCCGACAUGGCGGAUGCGGAAUGUGUGUGCGUUCGCUUUGAGCCGACUUCGACAAAUGGCUGAGCCGCACUCUCAGCUCAAUGUGGAGAUUGGUGAUCAUAAGCAUGCGACCAAACUGGUUACGAAUUGCGUCGAAACAAAUCUAAGGUGCUGUGCAGCCAUGGGACAAGUGGUAUCUCUCUACUUUGUCCAUGUGGGCCAGCUAAACUACACUUCUACGCAGGGUACACUAGUAUUUAAAUUGAUUUCUUAGAACUUACAAGACGUUU